GCUGAGUGGUAAAGCACUUGGCUUCUGAACCAGUGGUCCAGGGUUCGAGUCCUGG
rnacentral:tRNA from 1 species